UACGGAGGAUCCAAGCGUUAUCCGGAAUCAUUGGGUUUAAAGGGUCCGUAGGCGGUCUUGUAAGUCAGUGGUGAAAGCCCAUCGCUCAACGGUGGAACGGCCAUUGAUACUGCAGGACUUGAAUUACUAGGAAGUAACUAGAAUAUGUAGUGUAGCGGUGAAAUGCUUAGAGAUUACAUGGAAUACCAAUUGCGAAGGCAGGUUACUACUAGUGGAUUGACGCUGAUGGACGAAAGCGUUGGGUAGCGAAACAGG
rnacentral:rRNA from 1 species